GCCUAGCCUUAAACAUUGACAGUAACAUACACCUACUGUCCGCCUGGGUACUACGAGCAUCAGCUUAAAACCCAAAGGACUUGGCGGUGCUUUAGAUCCACCUAGAGGAGCCUGUUCUAGAACCGAUAACCCCCGUUCAACCUCACCCUUCCUUGUUUUUCCCGCCUAUAUACCACCGUCGUCAGCUUACCCUGUGAAGGCCCUAUAGUAAGCAAAAUUGGCAUAGCCCAAAACGUCAGGUCGAGGUGUAGCGUAUGGAAGGGGAAGAAAUGGGCUACAUUCCCUAAUAACAGUGAAUACGGACGAUACACUGAAAUGUGAAUCCGAAGGAGGAUUUAGCAGUAAGCAGGAAAUAAAGUGUUCCGCUGAAACUGGCCCUGAAGCGCGC
rnacentral:rRNA from 1 species